rnacentral:lncRNA from 1 species
UAACGGGGCAGCUGUGGCAGCAAGGAGACCCCUCAAGAUCCCGAAAGGAGAGCGCAAUUCCUUGGAGCAGCACUCCAAUAAAUAAUUAUAAUAUCAUAUCAUAUCAGGCUGGGAACUGCCCUGCGUUCCGCCUUCUUCCCGUGGAAUGGAGAUUCCUCCUUUUCUGGAGUUUAUCCCAAAAACAUCCAAAUGUUCUCCUGGGAAUGCCGGCGGUGAGGUCUGGAGCCUCCUGCCCUGGAGGUGUCCAGGGAAUUCCUGGAUGUGGCACCCAGGUGGGGACUGGGAACAGCUUGGACUGACCUUGGAGGGCUUUUCCGACCUCAGGGAUUCCGGAAUUCCAUUUUCCAAGCGCUGCUCUCCCUUCUCCGGAUUUUUCACCCUGGUACAGAGCUUUGAAGAUGAAAGCGCCGCGCGCAAUAAAUAUUAACGUUAUCCCAACGUUGCCAGCAUUCCAGCUCCAACAUUCCUCGUCCAAGAAUCUCCCAGCGCUUUUCCAAAUGUGAAUUGAUUUCCUCUCAGUUCGGGGAGGCACCUUUUACCUUCAGCAUCCUCAUUUCCCCGGGGAGGCGUCCUCCGAGCGUUUCACCCCGCCGAUUCGGGAAAAACCUGGAGGUUUUUUUGGGAUUGAUCCAACAAUUCCCGCCUCCCGUUUUCCCAGCCUUGCUGCCCCACCACAUUCCCGGCCUGGGAGUGGGGUGUGACACUCGGCUCCUUUAUUGGUGGCGCUUAAAAAAAUCCAGACAACCUUCAUGAACCCCACCCAGGGCAGGGGAGGAAAUGAAACUCUUCCAAAUCAGGAUGGUCCCGGACGGGAAUCCAGGAAUUUUCAGGAUUUUGGAUAUGCAGGAUGAAAUUUUGAUGUGAUGUUGAGUCAGAAUCUCAUAAUUCUUAUUAAAAAUACGAUUAAAAUGGAAAUAUUUUCUCAAAUAUUCUUCUUCCUUCUCGUGCUGCAUCUGCAGGUGAAGAUCUGAGCUGAAGGAAAUGAAACUCUUCGAAAUCAGGACGAUCCCAGCCAGGAAUCCAUGAAUUUUCAGGAUUUUGGAUGUCCAGGAGGAAAUCUUGACAGGAUGUUGAGUCACAAUCUUGGAAUUUUUAUUUAAAACCUGAUUAAAAUGGAAAUAUUUCCUGGAAUGCAGCAGAGGUGAAGAUCUGAGCUGAAGGAAAGGAAACUCUUCCAAACCUGGACAAUCCCGGUCGGGAAUCCAUGAAUUUUCAGGAUUUUGGAUGUGCAGGAGGAAAUCUAGAUGGGAUAUUGAGUCAGAGUCUCAUAAUUCUUAUUUAAAAUGUGAUUAAAAUGGAAAUAUUUCCUGGAAUGCAUCACAGGUGAAGAUCUGAGCUGAAGGAAAUGAAACUCCUCCAAAUCAGGAUGAUCCCAGCCGGGAAUCCACCGAUUCCUGGGAUUUUGGAUGUCCAGGCAGAAAUCUCGA